rnacentral:rRNA from 1 species
CCUACGGGUGGCAGCAGUGGGGAAUAUUGCGCAAUGGGCGAAAGCCUGACGCAGCGACGCCGCGUGAGGGAUGAAGGUCUUCGGAUCGUAAACCUCUGUCAGCAGGGAAGAACGGUCACUGUGCUAAUCAGCAGUGAAUUGACGGUACCUGCAAAGGAAGCACCGGCUAACUCCGUGCCAGCAGCCGCGGUAAUACGGAGGGUGCGAGCGUUAAUCGGAAUUACUGGGCGUAAAGCGCUCGUAGGCGGUAUGUCAAGUCAAGGGUGAAAUCCCCGCGCUCAACGUGGGAACUGCCUUUGAAACUGGCAAACUGGAGUGUGUGAGAGGAUAGUGGAAUUCCAUGUGUAGCGGUAAAAUGCGUAGAUAUAUGGAAGAACACCAGUGGCGAAGGCGGCCGCCUGGCCUGUUGCUGACGCUGAGGCACGAAAGCGUGGGGAGCAAAUAGGAUUAGAUACCAUUGUAGUC